CGGGGUGUGGCGUAGUUGGUAACGCACGUGCUUUGGGAGCACGAGAUCGUGGGUUCGAGUCCCACCACCCCGACCA
rnacentral:tRNA from 1 species